rnacentral:tRNA from 1 species
GCCUGGCUGGCUCAGUCGGUGGAGCAUAUGACUCUUGAUCUCAGAGUUGUGAGUUCUAGCCCCACGCUGGGUA